rnacentral:rRNA from 1 species
GACGUUGAUAGGCUGGGUGUGUAAGUGCAGCGAUGCAUUGAGCUAACCAGUACUAAUGAUCCGUGAGGCUUAACCUUACAACACCGAAGGUGUUU